GUAAUGUCUGGGAAACUGCCUGAUGGAGGGGGAUAACUACUGGAAACGGUAGCUAAUACCGCAUAACGUCGCAAGACCAAAGAGGGGGACCUUCGGCCUCUUGCCAUCAGAUGUGCCCAGAUGGGAUUAGCUAGUAGGUGGGGUAACGGCUCACCUAGGCGACGAUCCCUAGCUGGUCUGAGAGGAUGACCAGCCACACUGGAACUGAGACACGGUCCAGACUCCUACGGGAGGCAGCAUG
rnacentral:rRNA from 1 species